ACUCGACCCCCUCGGCAAAAAAUACACGGUAUAUAUAAGGUAAUUUUUAAAUUUUGUAUGUGUAUAUAUAUAGAUUUUGAACCUCUUGAAAUUAUGGUUAAAUAAAACGGAAGAACUAUAAAGAAAUGCACAACUGGCAAUCUAGAUGGUCCCAAAACACACAAGUUGUUGUGCAUUGUCGUUGGGGACAUCUGGUAAAGUUUGAACAACCCAAAUUGUUUUUUACCAACAUUGCACAAGCUAAAUGAUAAGAGUUGGUUUCCCAUUCCAGCUUGCAUGUUAUGCAUGUAUCUCAAAAUUCACUUACAUAUUGGAAUUUUCUAUAGGAACAUUCAUCGAGGGAGAGGCAUUUUUUUCACAGAUGUACAACUGAUAGUCUUGAGCAUUAUAUAAUGCAAGUGAUCGUACCUACUUGUUCUGAUGGAGCAUCAAAUACUUAUUGCAGAAAGUUAAAUUUGUUCAAGGAAGCUCUGAAGCUACUUGGAUGAGGCAUAUGUCCUUGAAGACUAAAGCAGCUCAGGAGCACCUGUUCUUUGGAAAAUCUAGUUGGGGCCAAUUAUUGGCUUUAACGAAGCUCUAUUUUAUUACUAGGCAUCUACUUCCAGGGCUACUCAACUGACAAAGUUGGUCGUUAAACUCAUAUGUUUUAUAUUGAACUGAUAGAUUUCCUUGUACAAAGACCUUCUUCCAAGGAAAAAGAAAAG
rnacentral:misc_RNA from 1 species